rnacentral:rRNA from 1 species
GACGAACGCUGGCGGCGUGCUUAACACAUGCAAGUCGAACGGAAAGGCCCUGCUUUUGUGGGGUGCUCGAGUGGCGAACGGGUGAGUAACACGUGAGUAACCUGCCCUUGACUUUGGGAUAACUUCAGGAAACUGGGGCUAAUACCGGAUAGGAGCUCCUGCUGCAUGGUGGGGGUUGGAAAGUUUCGGCGGUUGGGGAUGGACUCGCGGCUUAUCAGCUUGCUGGUGGGGUAGUGGCUUACCCAGGCUUUGAAGGGUAGCCGGCCUGAGAGGGUGACCGGCCACAAUGGGACUGAGAUACGGCCCAGACUGCUACGGGAGGCAGCAGUGGGGAAUAUUGCACAAUGGGCGGAAGCCUGAUGCAGCAACGCCGCGGGCGGGAUGACGGCCUUCGGGUUGUAAACCGCUUUCGCCUGUGACGAAGCGUGAGUGACGGUAAUGGGUAAAGAAGCACCGGCUAACUACGUG